CCUUCACCAGCACACCUGCUUGAGGGGCCGCAGAACUCCAAAGUUCAUCAAUACUAUGUGAAUCACUGCUGGAGACUGACAUUAGAAAUCCAUCUUCAUGCUGGCCUGGUUCCUCAUCUCCUACAUCACUAAAUUACAACUUAAAUCCAAAUAUCUCCCAAAUGUUUUGAUACAAGACCUAAAAAACCCCCAUUUCUCAGCUCCCUGAAGACUUCAUAGACCAUAUGCUUCUCAAAGGAGAAGUUAUGCUGUUUCACUUCUUUCUAAUGACUGUUGGCCAAUGGGAAAAUGUAUAACUGAACAACUUAGGUUAUGUCCGCUUGGAGAAGUUGAAGAUUUCGUUAGAUGCUGGACAACAAUAUUCACAUCCAAAGCACUCAAUUUCCAUGCUGCAUCAGGCUUAGUCUCAGUCUCCCCAGAACACAGUGAAAAGACGUGACAGUAGCUUUCUGUGUAGAAAUAUAUUUGGCAAAUAUAUAAACCCUGCAGAGCAUCCCUUGAGAGGCUAAAGGAAUUUAAACUUAAGUCCCAUGCAGAUCUCCUCUAAGGUGUUAUUUUCCCCCCUAAAUACCAUGUUGAAAUUCUACUUUUACCAAGUUUAAAACUGGAAGCUACAUUAUGUUUGCAGAACUGGAAAUCUCAGUGAAUAAAUAAAUCUUGAGAAGCACAGCUACAGGGAAACAGGCACAGACCUUGCACCAUUCACAGCUUUAAAAAAAGUGUUGGAGCUUAGUAAAGCCAGCAUCACACACACAGCAAAUUAGAAGGAGGGCACGCUCUCCUCAUGAACUUGGGGAAAACCCACACAUUUCAAAAGCACAUAAUUCAGCUGUAAAAUGUUAACAACUGUUUUCCAGACUUCGCUUUGGUAUACAAAAUUCAGCCCAGAAACUCUUCCAUUUCACAAAGUAUGGUUCAAAUUAAGGGGAAAAAACAACCCUUUACAUAUCUUUGCAGUGUUUUUUUUUUUUUCCACAACACCAGAGUUCUGUCAAAGUGGGAAUCUUCAUAAAAACAACUAUUCAUAUUCUAUGGUUUAUUUAUGCAAAUUGGAUGGGCAAUGUUAAUUAAAUGAACACUUAGAUCUGUGUAGACCUUUUUACCAGUAGGUUUCAAGAAGAUAAAGUAUGAGAACCUUACUUUGGAACCAAAGAAAUGAAGAUCUGGAUAGGUUGGAUAGCUGGGCUGAAGCCAAUGGGAUGGGAUUCAACAAGACCAAAUGCCGGGUCCUGCACUUUGUCCACAAUAACCCCAGGCAAUGCUACAGGCUUGGGGCAGAGUGGCUGGAAGACUGUGUAGAGGAAAUGGACCUGGGGGUGUUGAUUGACACUAGACUGAACAUGAGCCAGCAGUGUGCCCAGGUGGCCAAGAAGGCCAAUGGCAUCCUGGCUUGUAUCAGAAAUAGUGUGGCCAGCAGGAACAGGGAAGUAAUUAUCCCCCUGUACUCAGCACUGGUGAAGCCACACCUUGAGUACUGUGUCCAGUUUUGGGCCCCUCACUGUAAGAAAGACAUCGAGGCCCUGGAGCGUGUCCAGAGGAGGGCAACAAAGCUGGUGAGGGGUCUGGAGCACAGGCCUUAUGAAGAGCGGCUGAAGGAGCUGGGAUUGUUCAGUUUAGAGAAGAGGAGGCUCAGAGGAGACCUUAUUGCUCUCUAUAACUACCUGAAGGGAGUUUGUAGUGAGCUGGGGGUCGGCCUCUUCUCUCAGGUGACUAGUGAUAGGACUAGAGGGAAUGGCUUCAAGCUGCACCAGGGAAGAUUCAGGCUGGACGUUAGGAAAUACUACUUCUCUGAAAGGGUGGUCAGGCACUGGAAUGGGCUGCCCAGAGAGGUGGUGGAGUCACUGAACCUGGUGGUGUUCAAAGAGCGUUUGGAUGUUGUGUUGAGGGACAUGGUUUAGCGAGAACCAUUGGUGAUGGGCGAAUGGUUGGACUGGAUGAUCCUGUGGGUCUUUUCCAACCUUAGCGAUUCUAUGAUUCUAUAAGAAACAUUGUAAGUGACGUAUGAGCUGAUCUACCAGACUAGGAACCAAGCCAGGAGAAAGGCAAACGAAGGGAUGGAUGCAUGCAAUAAAAGCCUUCAAAUGAUGCCAGGCUGGAUUUUUUUCCUGUGACAGACAAUUAUUGUACAGUUAUGGUCUUCUAAUUAACCAGUUAAAGUACAGUUUCUGCAAUUGUCCUACAUAUGUAGGUACCUGGAUAUUAAGCCUAUAGUUUCAUGAAGUACAGAAAUUCAGUUCCCUCUGAUCCCCCUGAGAAGAAAACAGAGAACAAAACCAACCACCAUUUACCUUCCCCUGAACACCUCUGCUGGUAACAGCUUUGUAAAAUAUUCCUGUGCAAUAUCUACUGAGCAUUAGCAUUGUGCACUUCAUACAGUGAUGCAUCACUGUCCUUUGCUGCAAUUUUAGUUAAUUACCCCAUGAAAAACUUAAAAGAUUUAAGCUCAUAAAAAGUAGUAAAUAAUACAUAUCAGUAGUUUGAUUUCUUGCUACAACACAAAGUUGGAAGUUCAGCCUUCAGUAACCUCUGAGCUAUUUCUUAUCCCCACAGCUUCUGUGACAGUACUACAGGAACGUCUAUCUGUACACAGCAUACAAUAUUACCCUUUAUGAAGGCAGCACUGGAACGGAGAUAUAUAAUUAAUUACAUUCAAUUUAGCACCAUGGAUUUAAGGAUUUGCCUUCCAUUAGCAAACAGAGGAGGGAAACUUAGAAAGUAGAUAACAUCUAUUAUAGACAGAUCAUAUAAAUGACUAUUUCACACUUAUUUAAUCCUUCAAAAGCACUAUCAGAGAAAAUAGUUGUUUCUUAUAAGCAGAUGUACUGUUUGAAGGCACUCAGAGCAAUAUUCAGAUGCUGCUGUAUGGAGUGUGUGUUAAGGAAAGCCCAAAGCAGUUGGGACAGUCUGCUGUAAGCUGGCAGGGUGAGGGCAGAGGCUGCAGACAGUGCAUGGAUGGAUGUGUGCAUGGCUGGGGAUAGAUGCAUGGCCACACUGCCAAAGAGACCUGCCUAGCUCUUGGGCUGGGUGUAGAGGCAGACAACCCUGAUCUUCAGCACAAUGGGCAUGCAGCAAGACUAAACAGAAAAGAAGAUACUGGGAGAAAAGUGAUGGCUUGAGACUUUUUCUGAAAAAAAAAAAAAUCAGAAGAACCCCAACUCCGCUACAACCAAAAAUCCAAUAAUCCAAAACACUUCAUCUGUGAAAAGAAUUCAAAUUCAAUUAUUGACUGCACAACAAAUUACUGCAUCUCAGUCAGAGGCCGUACGUGGAAGCUGAAACACUGAGAACACAGCUAGAACGUAUUCCAAACGCAGCCUUCACCCAGGACUCUCUGAAGCACAGUCGACAUCAGAGACAGCAGAGCAGGAAAUAUGUUCUCAGAUGGAAAGGUCUGCUACAUUCCUCCAAGAAUUGCCCUCUAGAGCUGGAGCCUCUUUGUCUAACAGGUACAGCUGAGGCAGGUCCCUGUGCUUUGAAACACUGCUGUUAGAGAAGAAUCGAGGUAUGGCUUUUGGUUCAAGACUGAAUGGUUGGUACUGACAAACUCUGGAGUAGGCAGCAGGAUUCUGCUUUCACGUAUACAUUUGUUUCACAGCCUGAAGCUGGAAAAGCUUUAAUUUAAAUCUUACUGAUAAAAUAGAAAAAAAAAGCUAUUGAUCUUAAUAAUUUUUUUAGCAUGCAUGGUAUUUUUAUUAAUGAUUAAUAACCUUACUAUACUAUCACAAUAUAUCUGUAUAGGUAUUUUUCUUGUUAAAGUAUACAAUUUAGGUGUAAAACAUUUCAUUUAAUUCAUCUCCAACACUACUAACCUUUUCUUACUUAAAUCUGUAAUGCAAAUCUAUAAAAAUCACCAUCAGCUAUAACAGAUGAGUCCAUUGAAAGGCAGUGGCCCUAGGGAUGGCUCUGACCUCCUGAUCUUUCCAUCGCCACUGCUCACACAGCCAGGACUCCUUUGUCCAGAUCAAACCUUUCAUUAGCUGGCACUGAUGAUCAGAGCACUCUGAUCUCUCCCACAUCUCUCUGGACAUGGCUUUUAUGUUCUGCUGCGCCUUCAUGAGACUAAACAACAAUCAGCAUUUGACUCUAAAACUCUUCUCAUGGCCAUCUUACAGUUCAGACACGGUCCCCCCAGGAACCUGUAGCAUGGGGGUCAUAGAAAUCUCAUCCUGUUCCCCCUAGAUACAUUCACAUAUGUCCACAUCAGGUAGAAUACAUGUAGCAAAACCAAACUGGGCAUGCACAAUCACCUGUAGUUUCUUCAGGCAAGGCCACCUCAGAGAUGCAAGAAUAACAGCCUAGGAAAAGUUUUAGAGACCUUUUUCCUGCCAACAUACACAAACCUAGUUACUUUGUUCCAAGGGGCCAGCUUCAUCAUGUACCAUACUGGUAGUUAAUUCGGCCUAAAUGCUUGCCAGUUUUUAAUACAGCUUCCCUAAAGUUGCUAUUAAUCUGGGGUGAAUAUAAAGUGCACUGCUUUCUCCCAGCUUGUUUCAUCCUCUGAUUACAUUCACAUAUUCUACGCAGCACAGCUGUGAACACUUCAGGAGCAGCCAUCCUGAAGAUGGAGAUUGACCAUCCAGUACAACCCACCCCAUCCCAACACUCUGAUUUUCUUUCUGUAGGGUUUCACCAUCGAUUGUAGCCUUCCCAAAUCUUAUCUAACACUAUCUCAUCUAGUCUGUGUUCCAAAAUUUGAUUUAUGCACCUGUAUUCAUUCAUUUUUCACUUGGCUUUGCUGUAAUGUCUAACAGCAGAGAUAGCAUUUGUACUUCUGAUAGCUCAAAAGUUUACACAUCAUUUGAAAGCCAUGCAUUUGCAGAUAGAUAAAAAUAGUCUUAGUGUUUUAAUUAAGUGUUUGCAGUGCAACAGUCAGCGUUGGCAAUGGCAACAGUCAGUUACAGCUAAUGAUACCUUUUGAUAAAGGCAUCAAAUUGUUUUACCCCCAAACCAACCUGUACUACUUUGAGUAAUUUUUGCUGGCACCUCUGGCUUAUGUGCUGCUGAUGGUCAGUUUUUAUUCUACCGAUGUGUACUGUUAUGGUAAUUGGAGGCUAUUUUAGACUAUUUGUGUUUACCCUUAUUGCUAGUUAAUCCCCCCAGAAUUGUGAAGCAUCACUCACAGAUUUUCCAUGUUAGCUGUUAUUUUGCCACUUCUGCACAGAAACUUGCUUGAAACCACCUCAAAUCACAGAUUUGUUGGCUAAGUUCCUAUUACCCUCAGCAGCUCUGUAUUAGGACCUACGUGGCUCAAUUAAUCAGGAAAAUUAAAGUCAAAAAGGAAAGUUGCAGUAGAGACCACAGUAGGACAGAGGAGGAGCUCCUGGCUGUGAGCUGUCUGCAGCUCCAGGAGCCCUGGCUUUUGGCACUUUGUGAAGAAUUGCAGCUGCUGAUGCUGUCAAUAGUCCAGAAAAAGUAGCAGCUGCAAGGGAAGGAAGGAGGACUGCUUGGGACUUCCUGACUGACCUCACACUUCUGUAGCCCAGAUCAUUUCUCCUUCUCCUGCCAUACUUCACCCAUAAAAACACUGAUUACUAUGAUUUCAUGCAGGUGGAGGAAAUUUCACUUUCACGGCUUCAGAGUUGUUUCAUUUUCAGAUCCUAAGGGUUUCCACAGCUUGGAGAGAUCACAGGAGUGAUAUUUUCAAGCGUGGGGCUUGGGGGCUCUCAGUAUUGGGACCUGCCUUUUUACUACUGCUGGAAAGGUCCAGAACUUGAGGGUUGAAAACUAUCAAGUGAACAUCAUACAACAAAAUACAAUUUUCACAGAAAAUGGUUUCUCUUUGUUAAAUUUCACAUCUACUCAUUGUAAAAGCAUCCCCAUAAAACAAAAAAAAAAAGUGUUCAUGUUAUUUUGUGUGAAAAGACAAAACACUUAUUAGAAAGCAUAACGCUUUUUGAUUCUUGUCUUACAGAAUAAGCUACGAAUCCUCAACAUAUAAAGUGACUAUAAAGUAAAAACUAAUUUCUCAUGUAGUUACUCUGUUCCUGAGACCUUUCUGGCUAUCUAAUAUAUUUCCAAAGGAACAUGUUGUUUUGAUAACUGAAUACUCAAUUAGAUAUUCCUCUAGCAAACCAAUUCAGAACUUCCUAUCACGAUCUUCUGUACAGCUACACAGAUAGGGCAUAUAAUUGGACAAAACUUUUCACAGCCACAAGAUUAAGUUUCUUCUUUAAUAAAUAAUUCUUUUUAUUAUUAAAACAUAUGUUAAAUGUAUAUUGUAGACAACUGUAUAGCCAUUUUGGAAGGCUUAUAGUAAGACCUUGUGAUACUAUACUGAGAUGACAAUAGCAGAGUGGCAAAGUCUUUGGCUACAGCAAAUGAGAAUGAGCCCAAAUUCAGCAGCCACAGAUGCAGAGACAGAUAAAAAGAGCUACUUACUUCUAGAAGGCCUCAGAUAAGCAGGGAACCCUAGCAAGAUAUGCCCUCACCUCCACUGACAACCCUUAAAUGAGAUCUGGGAAGGGGUGGAUCCUGGCUGCACCCCUUCCAGUCACUCAGGUGCAU
ensembl:lncRNA